rnacentral:rRNA from 1 species
UACGUAGGGCGCAAGCGUUGUCCGGAAUUAUUGGGCGUAAAGAGCUCGUAGGCGGCCUGUUAAGUCUGCUGUGAAAUCCCGGGGCUUAACCCCGGGCGUGCAGUGGAUACGGGCAGGCUGGAGGCAGGCAGGGGAGAACGGAAUUCCCGGUGUAGCGGUGAAAUGCGCAGAUAUCGGGAGGAACACCGGUGGCGAAGGCGGUUCUCUGGGCCGGUACUGACGCUGAGGAGCGAAAGCGUGGGGAGCGAACAGG